rnacentral:rRNA from 1 species
GAAGAGUUUGAUCAUGGCUCAGAUUGAACGCUGGCGGCAGGCCUAACACAUGCAAGUCGAACGGUAACAGGAAGCAGCUUGCUGCUUUGCUGACGAGUGGCGGACGGGUGAGUAAUGUCUGGGAAACUGCCUGAUGGAGGGGGAUAACUACUGGAAACGGUGGCUAAUACCGCAUAACGUCGCAAGACCAAAGAGGGGGACCUUCGGGCCUCUUGCCAUCAGAUGUGCCCAGAUGGGAUUAGCUUGUUGGUGAGGUAACGGCUCACCAAGGCGACGAUCCCUAGCUGGUCUGAGAGGAUGACCAGCCACACUGGAACUGAGACACGGUCCAGACUCCUACGGGAGGCAGCAGUGGGGAAUAUUGCACAAUGGGCGCAAGCCUGAUGCAGCCAUGCCGCGUGUAUGAAGAAGGCCUUCGGGUUGUAAAGUACUUUCAGCGGGGAGGAAGGUGUUGUGGUUAAUAACCGCAGCAAUUGACGUUACCCGCAGAAGAAGCACCGGCUAACUCCGUGCCAGCAGCCGCGGUAAUACGGAGGGUGCAAGCGUUAAUCGGAAUUACUGGGCGUAAAGCGCACGCAGGCGGUCUGUCAAGUCGGAUGUGAAAUCCCCGGGCUCAACCUGGGAACUGCAUUCGAAACUGGCAGGCUUGAGUCUUGUAGAGGGGGGUAGAAUUCCAGGUGUAGCGGUGAAAUGCGUAGAGAUCUGGAGGAAUACCGGUGGCGAAGGCGGCCCCCUGGACAAAGACUGACGCUCAGGUGCGAAAGCGUGGGGAGCAAACAGGAUUAGAUACCCUGGUAGUCCACGCCGUAAACGAUGUCUACUUGGAGGUUGUGCCCUUGAGGCGUGGCUUCCGGAGCUAACGCGUUAAGUAGACCGCCUGGGGAGUACGGCCGCAAGGUUAAAACUCAAAUGAAUUGACGGGGGCCCGCACAAGCGGUGGAGCAUGUGGUUUAAUUCGAUGCAACGCGAAGAACCUUACCUGGUCUUGACAUCCACGGAAGUUUUCAGAGAUGAGAAUGUGCCUUCGGGAACCGUGAGACAGGUGCUGCAUGGCUGUCGUCAGCUCGUGUUGUGAAAUGUUGGGUUAAGUCCCGCAACGAGCGCAACCCUUAUCCUUUGUUGCCAGCGGUCCGGCCGGGAACUCAAAGGAGACUGCCAGUGAUAAACUGGAGGAAGGUGGGGAUGACGUCAAGUCAUCAUGGCCCUUACGACCAGGGCUACACACGUGCUACAAUGGCGCAUACAAAGAGAAGCGACCUCGCGAGAGCAAGCGGACCUCAUAAAGUGCGUCGUAGUCCGGAUUGGAGUCUGCAACUCGACUCCAUGAAGUCGGAAUCGCUAGUAAUCGUGGAUCAGAAUGCCACGGUGAAUACGUUCCCGGGCCUUGUACACACCGCCCGUCACACCAUGGGAGUGGGUUGCAAAAGAAGUAGGUAGCUUAACCUUCGGGAGGGCGCUUACCACUUUGUGAUUCAUGACUGGGGUGAAGUCGUAACAAGGUAACCGUAGGGGAACCUGC